UACGAAGGGGCUAGCGUUGCUCGGAUUGACUGGGCGUAAAGGGCGCGUAGGCGGUUUGCAUAGUCAGACGUGAAAUUCCUGGGCUUAACCUGGGGGCUGCGUUUGAUACAUGCAGGCUUGAGUUCGGAAGAGGGUCGUGGAAUUCCCAGUGUAGAGGUGAAAUUCGUAGAUAUUGGGAAGAACACCGGUGGCGAAGGCGGCGACCUGGUCCGAUACUGACGCUGAGGCGCGAAAGCGUGGGGAGCAAACAGG
rnacentral:rRNA from 1 species